rnacentral:lncRNA from 1 species
GAGGGUGCUCCCGUAGCCCAGCCAGAGGGUGCUGCAGUGACAUCGUCUUUCCAUCAUGCAGGCCAGUGUCUGCAUGGGGCUCUAACUUAGGGCCUUGUCCUCCAGAAACUGCUGCAGCCUCAGAGGCUGUGAGUUUCACGUCUUCAUUUUAGAAUCAUAAGUGUUUUUAGGACACUCAAUUGCCUUCCCUGUAAAAGGUUGUCCUCCAUCUUUUCAUAAAGAGAAAUGCAAGUCUCUUCUCAGAGUCCUAUGCUGGGAGGCUCCCCUGACACUCCAGUCUGUUCUUCCGUAGCCCGCGGAAGUUGCAGGGAGCCUGCUGCAGACGUGGGAAGCCCACAGCGUAACCAUCCACGUGUUUGUCAUCUCCGAAGCCUUAACCAGUAAGCUCUGUGAGAGACCAUUUCCAUCCUGUUCAUCAGCUUUGUACCAUCUACACACACGGCUCCCGGCACAUAGUAUACUCUCAAAAAGGGUUUUAGGAAUAAAUGAAAAAGUCUAGCACGCAAAACGUCUAGGCCCAUGUUUUUCUACAAGGUCUAUUACACUUGGAUUAAGAACUUCGCAGAUUAGCUUCUGUUCUCCUCGUUUCUCAGAGCAUCAGCAACGGAGACUCAGCAAAAGCUUUAUGGAAUUAUAAUUGAUCUACCAUACUGGACAAUUUGAAGUGCACCAUUUGGUGUCCAUUGGCCGCUGGUCUUACAAAUUAACAUGUUCCCUACAGUGAACUUGGACCUUGAGGAACCACGUCCUCAGUCCCCGAAAUGCAAAGGAGCACCAAAAACAACCACACUUUCACAAAUGACUUUCUGUGAGAGAAGCUGGGUUUAAGCAUGAAAAGUGUAUCCUUCAAUAGAAAAAGAAACAGAGCUCGCGCUCCUCAGCAAACAUAUCGUGGGUCACUUUUUUAUGGCUGAAUCAACAAAACGCUCCCCAUAAACUACAGUUUUGUGCAGCACACACUGUUUCAGAAACACUCCUGCUGCCAGAAUGAGAAGUCGAUGCGGCUCGUUCCUCCCCUGGCGUCUCUGGGAGUUCUUUCCCACGUACUCCAAGGUUCCUGUGUGAACAGCGGGGUAGUAUAUCAGCCCCGAGGGGCAGCCAGCUCCCCCUGCUCGGGGCCAGGGGGGCUCAGUGCACAGAGCACGAGACGCUCAGGGUCUGUGUCAGAAACCCUGACAGCUGUUGUCAGAGGGGAGACACGAGUGUGCCAACGAGGCCAGGGUGGAAUCACAGGCUGAUGCGGAGCCCGCCGGCUCCCAACAACUUCAACGCCUAAGUCUAUGCUAACAAAC